rnacentral:rRNA from 1 species
AGUGAACGCUGGCGGUAGGCCUAACACAAGCAAGUCGAACGGCAGCACAGUAAGAGCUUGCUCUUACGGGUGGCGAGUGGCGGACGGGUGAGGAAUACAUCGGAAUCUACUUUUUCGUGGGGGAUAACGUAGGGAAACUUACGCUAAUACCGCAUACGACCUACGGGUGAAAGCAGGGGAUCUUCGGACCUUGCGCGAUUGAAUGAGCCGAUGUCGGAUUAGCUAGUUGGCGGGGUAAAGGCCCACCAAGGCGACGAUCCGUAGCUGGUCUGAGAGGAUGAUCAGCCACACUGGAACUGAGACACGGUCCAGACUCCUACGGGAGGCAGCAGUGGGGAAUAUUGGACAAUGGGCGCAAGCCUGAUCCAGCCAUACCGCGUGGGUGAAGAAGGCCUUCGGGUUGUAAAGCCCUUUUGUUGGGAAAGAAAAGCAGCAGGUUAAUACCCCGCUGUUCUGACGGUACCCAAAGAAUAAGCACCGGCUAACUUCGUG